AUUCAAUACAAAUGCAUGUAUGUCAAUAUGCAACUCUAAGGCCACACUGUGCUGUAUUGCUGCAUAGUAUGCAGCAGGCAGAUACGAUCAACGAAAUUGGUGAAGUAUGUGAGGUACCCAGGUGCGAAAAACCUUGAAAUCCUUUGGAAGCUAACUCAUCUUCGAGAACAAAUCACUUUCUAUAAAUAGGAGAAACUCGACGACGUCAAAUAUUAUCGAUUUCGUUUAUUUUCAAUAUGGGCAAACAGAACUAUUGCGCCGCCGUAAUCGUCAACACGUUUUCUUAUUAAAAUUGUACAGGGGGUAAACUGUAAAAUAAUUUGGCCGCGAGGGCAAUGCACCUAUCGAUAAAAACAGUAAAGUGGA